rnacentral:rRNA from 1 species
AUUGAACGCUGGCGGCAGGCCUAACGCAUGCAAGUCGAGCGGAGCGGCGGACGGGGGAGUAAUGCCUAGGAAUCUGCCUGGUAGUGGGGGAUCACGUCCGGAAACGGGAGCUAAUACCGCAUACUAUCAGAUGAGCCUAGGUCAGAUUAGCUAGUUGGUGGGGUAAAGGCCUACCAAGGCGACGAUCCGUAACUGGUCUGAGAGGAUGAUCAGUCACAGUGGAAGUGAGAAACGGUCCAGACUCCUACGGGAGGCAGCAGUGGGGAAUAUUCGACAAUGGGGGAACGCCUGAUACAGACAUGCGGCGUGUGGGAAGAAGGUCUUCGGAUUGUAAAGCACUUAAAGUGAGGAGGCGUUCCCAACAGAGUAAGCACCGGAUAACUUCGAGCCAGCCGCCGCGGUAAUAC